GAUCAUGGCUCAGGAUGAACGCUAGCUACAGGCUUAACACAUGCAAGUCGAGGGGCAGCAUAUUUCUAGCAAUAGAGAUGAUGGCGACCGGCGCACGGGUGAGUAACACGUAUCCAACCUGCCUUAUACUCGGGGAUAGCCUUUCGAAAGAAAGAAUUAAUACCCGACUGUUAUAGUCUAACCGCAUGAUUUGUACUAUAAAAGAAUUUCGGUUAGUUAAGAAUGGGGAGUGCGUUCCUACUUAAG
rnacentral:rRNA from 1 species